rnacentral:rRNA from 1 species
AGUCUCUUCGGGGAUGAUUAAACCGGCGCACGGGUGAGUAACACGUGAGUGACCUGCCUUUUAGACUGGAACAACUUACCGAAAGGUGAGCUAAUGCCGGAUGAGUUAUAUAAGUGCAUGUUUAUAUAGGAAAAGUUGGGGAGACCUGACGCUGAAAGAUGGACUCGCGUCCCAUUAGCUAGUUGGUAGGGUAAUGGCCUACCAAGGCGACGAUGGGUAGCCGGCCUGAGAGGGUGGCCGGCCACACUGGGACUGAGACACGGCCCAGACUCCUACGGGAGGCAGCAGUGGGGAAUUUUGCGCAAUGCUCGUAAGAGUGACGCAGCGACGCCGCGUGAAUGACGAAGGCCUUCGGGUCGUAAAGUUCUUUCGACAGGGAAGAAAAUGCCUAUAAGUAACUGUGUAUGUAUUGACGGUACCUGUAUAAGCAGCCCCGGCUAACUCCGUGCCAGCAGCCGCGGUAAUACGGAGGGGGCGAGCGUUGUUCGGAGUGACUGGGCGUAAAGAGCACGUAGGCGGUGUUGUAAGUCAUUAGUCAAAGACUAGAGCUCAACUUUAGUAAGGCUAGUGAUACUAUAAUACUAGAGUAUCAGAGAGGAUUGCAGAAUUCCUGGUGUAGCGGUGAAAUGCGUAGAUAUCAGGAGGAAUACCGUUAGCGAAGGCGGCAAUCUGGCUGGAAACUGACGCUGAGGUGCGAAAGCGUGGGUAGCAAACAGGAUUAGAUACCCUGGUAGUCCACGCUGUAAACGAUGGAUGCUAGGUGUUGGGCUUUUAAG